rnacentral:rRNA from 1 species
AACUUUCAACAACGGAUCUCUUGGUUCUGG